rnacentral:rRNA from 1 species
GACGAACGCUGGCGGCGUGCCUAAUACAUGCAAGUCGAGCGGAUUGCUCCUUCGGGAGCAGUUAGCGGCGGACGGGUGAGUAACACGUAGGCAACCUGCCUGUAAGACCGGGAUAACUAUCGGAAACGAUAGCUAAGAGCGGAUAGCUGGUUCUCUCGCAUGAGGGAAUCAUGAAACACGGAGCAAUCUGUGGCUUAUAGAUGGGCCUGCGGCGCAUUAGCUAGUUGGUAGGGUAACGGCCUACCAAGGCGACGAUGCGUAGCCGACCUGAGAGGGUGAUCGGCCACACUGGGACUGAGACACGGCCCAGACUCCUACGGGGGGCAGCAGUAGGGAAUCUUCCGCAAUGGACGCAAGUCUGACGGAGCAACGCCGCGUGAGUGAUGAAGGUUUUCGGAUCGUAAAGCUCUGUUGCCAGGGAAGAACGCUUGAGAGAGUAACUGCUCUUAGGGUGACGGUACCUGAGAAGAAAGCCCCGGCUAACUACGUGCCAGCAGCCGCCGCGGUAA